GCAGUUACCUUUUGAUUCAUCAUGGGUCCCAACAUUACUACUGGCUAUCUAUUAAAACCUUUUGCUAUUGUUAAUCUAUAAUGGAACAGUGUUUACAUGGCAUCUCGCGUUUUCCUUCUUCAAAAUGUUUCCAUCAUUUCCAACUCCAAAAUAAACCUUAAGUUUCGUCUAUCCUCUCAUCUGCAUGAAAGUGAUGAGCGAAAAAAAGAUUUAAUCAAGCACCCUUGCUUGAUUUUUUUUUCAAACAUAGACAUAUUCUAAAACCAUGCUCACACUUGAGGCGCGCGUUUCAGGAGCAAAAGCAUUACGUAUUUAAGUGUUAGGUUUGGAGUGAAGGCAAUGUUACGUACGUAGGUUACAUGUGCGGUUCAGUAGCGAAUGCAAUCUUUAAGCUUUGUUAAGCUUGCCGGUAAAGAAGAAGUUAGUCAUAGCUUAUAUCAGAGAAGCCACUAUGCCAUAUUAAGUGCGUAGUAAUUAAGAAAUUAAGAAGAAUCUUUUAUGUCGUACUGUAAUACGUCAAUGUUUACGUGUAAGAUUUGGUAGUGAAACCAGUUACAUACGUAACAUGUUCGGUUCGGUAGCAACGCAAUCUAAGCUUUUUAAGCGUGCCGGUAAAGAAGAGGUUAGCCUUGGGUUAACUCAGAAUCCGCUACGGUAUACAUUAAUUAUAGAAAUUAAGUAGAUUCUUUUAUGUCUACUUUAAAAAUACGUCAUUGUUUACGUGUGAGAUUUGGUAGUGAAACCACUGUCACAUACGUAACGUGUGCCGUUCGGUAGCGAACGCAAUCUUAAUCUUUACUAAGCUUGCUGGUAAAGAGGAAGUUAGCCUUAGCUUAAUCAGAGAAGCCGCUAUGGUAUAGAAUAAUGAUAGAAAUUAAGACGAUUCUUUUAUGUCUACUGUAAAAAGACGUCAAUGUUUACGUAUGAGGUCUGGUAGUGACACAGUUUACAUAUGAAACGCGUGCGCGGUAAUGAACGCAAUCUGUAUGCUUCGUUUAUAAGUGUCCUCGGAAAAAAGAGGUUAGCUUGAUAUUAAACUCAAGAGAUGCUGGUACGUAAUGGUAUAGUAAUUAAAGACAUUAAGAAGAUUCUUUUACUUAUACGUACGUAUAUAUGUACCAUGCAGUACCAUAAUAUUAAUUGUCAAAGUCCAAUAAGCUUGAAACCAGCCCCGAUGUUGGACAAUUUGCCGUAAGAGACGCACCUUUUUUAUGGACAUUUAUGAAACAAUAUCGUUAGUAUCAUAACAUUACAUUUACUGAAAGAUAAUUUUCAAGCGAUUUUGUAUACAGUAUUGCAGUCGACUCCAUAAAAGAUUUACCAUAAAUUAAUAUCGAAUGUAAAUGUUUCUUGGCUUAUAGCGAGAUAUGGUUUGUUUACUACCAUAGUCCCGAUAUAAACCACCAGGGCUGCGCUAUGGUUUGUUUACAUCCUUAAAUGCCGACUUACUGUAGGCAAAUUUUUGCAAGUUUUUGAUAAAUAUAAAUUGGGUUUAAUUUUAAUAGUUUAUUAAUUUACUGUAAUAAAUAGACUUGCUUUUCAAUGUUUUUAUUAUGAUAGCAACACAUUUUAUGCCUACCCACUACACUACGUUCUACUUACUAUUUACCUAGGUAGCCUAUGGCGCUUGGUCAACAAUCGGUUGGACGCAGGCUAGUUUUCUUUUAUACUGUAUAUUAUACAUUUAAAAUUAUAAAUAUACGUUUAACAUGAUAUUUAUUUAACUUUUAACUUAUUUAGUUGUAAUUUACAUGUAAUGUAUUGUAUAAAAAGGCAAGGUUAGGGUAAUAACUGAUGGUCAAGAACGGAUUAAUCCAUUUUCAGUUAUUUCUUAUGGGAAAACUUGAUUCACUUCUCGAAACAAUCGAAUUUCGACGCUCUUUCUGGAACGAAUUAUCGUCGAGAACCGAGGCUCUACUGUACCUGCUAGAAAUAAAUUCCUCUGAUUCCACGUUGGCCGAGCCGGGAUUCGAACUUCGGACCACCGGAUUGGCAGCCGAGCGCGAAAACCACUCGUCCAGCGAGGAACUACAAUAAGUGCCAAAAUAUCAACCUUCGGUCAACUUUGACUCGACCGAAAUGGUAAAAAAACGCAAUUAGUUGGAGUCGUCCAAAAUGGUGGCACUCUGGGGGUCGCUUGGGCUAUGGGGUCCACCAUCCUUGGAGGGUUUGCUGAUGUACUUCUUGGAUGCUCGCCUUCCCCUUCCUCAGGCUGCCCAGCCUCUCCCCCUCCUCCUGGCCUCGUCUUCAUUGGUAGCCGAGGUAUUGCUCCGCCAGUGACAACUGCCGCUUCUUCGAGUCAGAGGGAAGCCGUGGUGUCAGCGCCGCUGGCGACGUCACGGGGGUCAGCCAUUUUGUACCUUUCACCAAUAGCGUCUGCUUCCCUCUCAGAUUGAGGGGAAGCUGUGAUGCCAGCACCGGUAGUGACGUCACUUCCAUCGAAGACGUCAUUCCUUGUUUCCUCCACUGCUCUGCCUCGCUCACAUGUGUUGUCAUCAUAAGGUUGCUAAAUAUGAGUUCCAGUGGGAAUGCACACCACUGAAAGCCAGUUAAAUAACCGAAAAAUAAUGAACAAGCUACAGUGGGGCAUCCCUUAAUCGCGGAUCAGCAAUCACGGAAUCAGUUAUUCACGGGUUUUUUCUUGGACUGCUUCUCGUGCUACAUCGCUGGUAUGAAUCGCAGCAUCGCGGGACAAACAUGUUGCGUAUGUGAUGUUUAUCGGUAGGCUAAGCCUUGGCCGCGGUCCGA